rnacentral:rRNA from 1 species
AAUCAGGUAGGACUACCCGCUGAACUUAAGCAUAUCAAUAAGCCGGAGGAAA